rnacentral:snoRNA from 1 species
AGCACAUACAUCUUGAGUUUGUUUUUGUUGAUGACAAAAACUUAAAGUAAGUGCUAAGAAUAAACCCUUCACUUGCAACCCACAACUCAUCAUCAUAUGAGCUGUGUUACUUCUGGGAAGGGACAAU